CCUGUCUUGGUACUUGAGGGUAGAGCAGUGAGCAAGGUAAAGGAGGAAGGCUAGUGGGAGAGUUGGCUCUGAAAUCCUCUCAGGAGUGGGCAAGUCUGUCAGGAGUGAUAUAGAGCCACAGGUGGUUAGCCCUGAGGGUAGAAUGAGGCAUUCCAGGGAGAAAGCUAAAGGGAUACUGACAGGUCUUGCUUGAGGAAUACUGAAUUUGGGUUAAGUUGUAGCUUUGGGGUUUGAGAUUUACUGGGGGAUUUGGGAGAACCUUGGGAGCUCUGAGAGCAGGGUGAACCUAGAGAAGUAGUGGGGAAACUGCCUAGUAAAAGGCUAUGGUGGAAAGAAGCCCAGAGAGGCAGCAGGGCUUUGUUUGAUUAGACAGACCUUGCCUGCUUGCUACAGGAUCCCUGGACUGAAACCCAGAGUUGAGAGCAGCAAUGGGUGCCCCCGUCCACUGAUGGAAAAAGGUAGUGUGCAAAGCCCCUUCAGGCCCUCCCCCCGAUAUAAAGGGAUAAGGACACUCACAGCCCUGAGCCAAAAGGGUGUGAGGACCUUUGGGCUCAGUCAAGCCUGAAAACAUGUUGUAAGGACAUUGGAGUGUAUAUAUGUUGGACUAUAGUUCCACCCCUAUUGGGGUAACAGAGUGUGACCUGGCUAGAGGACUAAGUCAUUGGAAGAGAGACCACCACAGGCCUGGAGUGACAGUUGGCAGGGGGUACUGGAAGGGAAAAGAGCUGCUAUACCAUACCCAGCCUCAGUGGGGCACUCCAGUGCACCACCUCAUACAGUGAAUUCUUCUGAAGCAGCUGAGAGCCUUCACAAAUUUUGGAGGGACAUCUAAUUGAAACUAGGUGAAGGGAAUGGAGGGGAAAGAAAUAACUGCAAAGAACAGGCAGAACAUUUGAAGGAGAAAUAAGAAACAAUAACGAAGAGCAACAAGGAAAAAUCCUCUGAGA